AGGGUGCAGGGCGGAUGCCUUGGCACUAGGAGCCGAUGAAGGACGUGAUAAGCUGCGAUAAGCUUCGGGGAGUUGCACGUAAACUUUGAUCCGAAGAUUUCCGAAUGAGGAAACUCACUUAGAGUAAUGUCUAAGUAUCAUUAAGUGAAUACAUAGCUUAAUGAGGGGAACUCAGGGAACUGAAACAUCUAAGUACCUGAAGGAAGAGAAAGAAAUUCGAUUCCGUAAGUAGCGGCGAGCGAACGCGGAUUAGCCCAAACCAAUAAAGUUUUCUUUAUUGGGGUUGCGGACAUAUCAUAACGAAGAGGUAUCGUAAUUGAAGAGGUUUGGAAAGACCCACCACAGAAGGUAAUAGUCCUGUAUGUUAAACGAGAAGACUUCAGAUAUGAUCCAGAGUACCACGGGACACGUGAAACCCUGUGGGAAGCAGGAGGGACCACCCUCCAAGGCUAAAUACUACCUAGUGACCGAUAGCGUAUAGUACCGUGAGGGAAAGGUGAAAAGAACCCCGGGAGGGGAGUGAAAUAGAACCUGAAACCCUGCACUUACAAGCUGUGGAAGCACAUUUCUUGUGUGACCGCGUACUUUUUGUAGAACGGGCCAACGAGUUACGUUAAGUAGCAAGGUUAAGCACUUAAGGUGUGGAGCCGUAGCGAAAGCGAGUUUUAACUGAGCGUUCAGUUACUUGACGUAGACCCGAAACCGGGCGACCUACCCAUGAGCAGGAUGAAGCGAAAGUAAAAUUUCGUGGAGGUCCGAACCCACGAGCGUUGAAAAGCUCGGGGAUGACUUGUGGGUAGCGGUGAAAUUCCAAUCGAGCCCGGAGAUAGCUGGUUCUCCCCGAAAUAGCUUUAGGGCUAGCCUCAAGGUGAGAGAUACGGAGGUAGAGCACUGAAUGUCCUAGGGGGUAUUGCACCUACCGAAGACUAUCAAACUCCGAAUGCCGUCAUCUUAUACUUGGGAGUCAGACUGUGGGUGAUAAGAUUCAUAGUCGAAAGGGCAACAGCCCAGAUCGUCAGCUAAGGUCCCUAAAUGUAAGUUAAGUGGUAAAGGAUGUGGGAUUGCACAGACAACCAGGAUGUUGGCUUAGAAGCAGCCACUCAUUCAAAGAGUGCGUAAUAGCUCACUGGUCGAGUGAUCCUGCGCCGAAGAUUUCCGGGGCUAAAACUUACUACCGAAGCUACGGCAUCAGUAAUGAUGGGUAGGGGAGCUUCCCAUACGGGUUGAAGCAUGACCGUAAGGACAUGUGGACAGUAUGGGAGUGAGAAUGUUGGCAUGAGUAGCGAGAUGUGGGUGAGAAUCCCACAGGCCGUAAACCCAAGGUUUCCAGGGGAAGGUUCGUCCGCCCUGGGUUAGUCGGGACCUAAGCUGAGGCCGAAAGGCGUAGGUGAUGGACAACAGGUUGAUAUUCCUGUACUACCGAUAACCGUUUGAGAGAAGGGAUGACACAGUAGGAUAAGCUAAGCACACUGUUGGUUAUGUGUGCCCAAGCAUUGAGGCAGUCAAAGUAGGCAAAUCCGCUUUGAUAAUGCUGGGAUGUGAUGGGGAGCGAAAUUUAGUAGCGAAGUAGCUGAUUUCACACUGUCAAGAAAAGUCUCUAUCGAGGUUAAAGGUACCCGUACCGCAAACCGACACAGGUGGGUGAGGAGAGUAUCCUAAGGCCAGCGAGAGAACUGUUGUUAAGGAACUCGGCAAAAUGACCCCGUAACUUAGGGAUAAGGGGUGCCACCAUCAGGUGGCCGCAGAGAAUAGGCCCAAGCGACUGUUUACCAAAAACAUAGGUUUCUGCUAAGUCGCAAGACGAUGUAUAGGAGCUGACGCCUGCCCGGUGCUGGAAGGUUAAGGGGAUCUGUUAGAGCAAUCGAAGCAGUGAACUUAAGCCCCAGUAAACGGCGGCCGUAACUAUAACGGUCCUAAGGUAGCGAAAUUCCUUGUCGGGUAAGUUCCGACCCGCACGAAAGGCGUAACGAUUUGGGCACUGUCUCAACAACAGACUCGGUGAAAUUGUAAUUCCGGUGAAGAUGCCGGAUACCUGCGACAGGACGGAAAGACCCCAUGGAGCUUUACUGUAGCUUGACAUUGGGUCUUGGUACUACAUGUACAGGAUAGGUGGGAGGCUUUGAAACCAGGACGCCAGUUUUGGCGGAGCCAUCCUUGGGAUACCACCCUUGUAGUACUGGGACUCUAACCAUAGGCCAUGAAUCUGGUCUUGGGACACUGUCAGGUGGGCAGUUUGACUGGGGCGGUCGCCUCCCAAAAGGUAACGGAGGCGCUCAAAGGUUCUCUCAGUACGGUCGGAAAUCGUACGUAGAGUGUAAAGGCAAAAGAGAGCUUGAUUGCAAGACAUACAGGUCGAGCAAGGAUGAAAAUCGGACUUAGUGAUCCGGUGGUUCUGCGUGGAAGGGCCAUCGCUCAACGGAUAAAAGCUACCCUGGGGAUAACAGGCUUAUCUCCCCCAAGAGUCCACAUCGACGGGGAGGUUUGGCACCUCGAUGUCGGCUCAUCACAUCCUGGGGCUGUAGUAGGUCCCAAGGGUUGGGCUGUUCGCCCAUUAAAGUGGUACGCGAGCUGGGUUCAGAACGUCGUGAGACAGUUCGGUCCCUAUCCGUCGCAGGCGUAGGAAAUUUGAGAAGACCUGUCCUUAGUACGAGAGGACCGGGAUGGACGUACCUCUGGUGUACCAGUUGUUCUGCCAAGGGCAUGGCUGGGUAGCUAUGUACGGAAUGGAUAAGCGCUGAAAGCAUCUAAGCGCGAAGCCAACUUCAAGAUAAGAUUUCCCACCGCAAGGGUAAGACCCCAGAAAGACUAUCUGGUUGA
rnacentral:rRNA from 1 species